rnacentral:rRNA from 1 species
UAGCGGCGGACGGGUGAGUAACACGUGGGUAACCUGCCUGUAAGACUGGGAUAACUCCGGGAAACCGGGGCUAAUACCGGAUGCUUGAUUGAACCGCAUGGUUCAAUUAUAAAAGGUGGCUUUUAGCUACCACUUACAGAUGGACCCGCGGCGCAUUAGCUAGUUGGUGAGGUAACGGCUCACCAAGGCAACAAUGCGUAGCCAACCUGAGAGGGUGAUCGGCCACACUGGGACUGAAACACGGCCCAAACUCCUACGGGAGGCAGCAGUAGGGAAUCUUCCGCAAUGGACGAAAGUCUGACGGAGCAACGCCCCGGGAGUGAUGAAGGUUUUCGGAUCGUAAAACUCUGUUGUUAGGGAAGAACAAGUACCGUUCGAAUAGGGCGGUACCUUGACGGUACCUAACCAGAAAGCCACGGCUAACUACGUGCCAGCAGCCGCGGUAAUACGUAGGUGGCAAGCGUUGUCCGGAAUUAUUGGGCGUAAAGCGCGCGCAGGCGGUUUCUUAAGUCUGAUGUGAAAGCCCCCGGCUCAACCGGGGAGGGUCAUUGGAAACUGGGGAACUUGAGUGCAGAAAAGGAGAGUGAAAUUCCACGUGUAGCGGUGAAAUGCGUAGAGAUGUGGAGGAACACCAGUGGCGAAGGCGACUCUCUGGUCUGUAACUGACGCUGAGGCGCGAAAGCGUGGGGAGCGAACAGGAUUAGAUACCCUGGUAGUCCACGCCGUAACGAUGAGUGCUAAGUGUUAAAGGGUUUCCGCCCUUUAGUGCUGCAGCAAACGCAUUAAGCACUCGCCUGGGGAGUACGGUCGCAAGACUGAAACUCAAAGGAAUUGACGGGGGCCCGCACAGGCGGUGAAGCAUGUGUUUAAUUCGAAGCAACGCGAGAACCUUAACAGGUCUUGACAUCCUCUGACACCCUAGAGAUAGGGCUUCCCCUUCGGGGCAGAGUGACAGGUGUGCAUGGUUGUCGUCAGCUCCGGUCUGAAAAUGUUGGAUAAGGUCCCGCAACGACGCAAACCCUUGAAUCUAGUGGCAGCCAUCAUGGCACUCUAAGUUACUGCGGUGACAAA